GCCAACGGCCAUACCACACAAGGUACACUGGUUCUCGUCUGAUCACCAAAGUUAAGUUGUGUUGGGCAUGGAUAGUACUUGGAUGGGUGACCGCUUGGGAAUUCCAUGUGCUGUUGGCUUUU
rnacentral:rRNA from 1 species